rnacentral:rRNA from 1 species
AUGACGACGGGCGACGGAGGCCUGUCCCCCAGUAGCUUGGUCGUACCGGCGGUUGACGCCCCGCCGUCCUUCUUUGCCGUCGUCAUCGACGACAGCGCUACGGUCACCGGCACCGGCACCGCCACUGCCACGGGCGACACGGGUGGACAUCCAGGCGUCCCCGCGGGGCGUCGUCGUCGCCUGGAGCUGGUCCGGCCCAAGUUCGAGGAAAAGACCCCAGCGGUCGAGGCGGACGGCAAGAAGCUGUCUCCGACGAGCGGCGUCGCUGAAGACGCCGCGUCCUCCUCUGGAAACGGCGCUUCGGGUCUUAAGAUUCGGGUAGCUGGUCGCCGUCCUCGUACAGACACCUCCGACAAAGGUGCGUCUUCACCUCGGCUCGCCCUCCCUUGGACGGCGACGGCCGUCACAUCUGAAGCCAUGCCGCCAGCAUCGAAGCGGCGGAAACUAGUUCGUCCGUCCUUGGAAGGACCAGUUCGCUUCCUUCGUGUCAGUAGCAAGGCUGAUGCCUCCAUGGCUGUUGAUGCGUUGAAGGCAGGGCAGGACCUGAAGAUCGCCAUCUCAGAGGAUCUCCCACUCGGCGAGGCCUCUGAUGUGGCGAAAGCGAUUCUGCCGUUUUACCCGCGCGUCCUCGAGGGACCGGACUUGUUGCUCCUGUGCAACAAGAUCGGUGAGGAGGCCGCGGUGAACUCCCGCCUGCAGAUCAACCAGUCUGCGCUCGCGGUUCUGGAGACGCAGUCCAGAGAUCUGAGCCUGUCGAUUGCGAGGGACACAGCUAUGUUACACUAG